AUUGAACGCUGGCGGCAGGCCUAACACAUGCAAGUCGAGCGAGCGGCGGACGGGUGAGUAAUGCCUGGGAAUUGCCCAGUCGAGGGGGAUAACAGUUGGAAACGACUGCUAAUACCGCAUACGAUUGGAUUGCCCAGGUGGGAUUAGCUAGUUGGUGAGGUAAUGGCUCACCAAGGCGACGAUCCCUAGCUGGGCUGAGAGGAUGAUACGCCAAACGUGAACCUAGACAAGGUCCAUGAUCCUACGGGAGGGCGCCGGGGGGAAUAGUUGAACAUGGGGGAAACCCUGAUGCAGCCAUGCCGCGUGUGUGAAGAAGGCCUUCGGGUUGUAAAGCACUUUCAGCGAGGAGGCGUUACUCGCAGAAGAAGCACCGGCUAACUCCGUGCCAGCAGCCGCGGUAAUUC
rnacentral:rRNA from 1 species